AGCGUAGGCGGGAGCCUAAGUUGGGUGUUUAAUUCCGGGGCCCAACCCCGGGCAUGCACUCAAAACUGGGUUUCUUGAAUAGGGGAGAGGUCGGUGGAAUUGGAGGUGUAGCGGUGGAAUGCGUAGAGAUCUCCAAGAACACCCGUUGCGAAGGCGGCCGACUGGACCCAUAUUGACGCUGAGGCUCGAAAGCAUGGGGAGCAAACA
rnacentral:rRNA from 1 species